GUUAACUUACACCCCCUUUCUCUCCAGAGCCUUCCCUUCCAAGACAUAUGAAAUUCACCCAACAAGCAAGAUCGUACCUUUGCUCUUUUAGGGUUAUCUCUCUCUCUCUCUCCCUCCGUGCAACAACCGCUGUCAAGGCUAGAGCUUGAGUGCUACCCUAAUCCAGUGAAAAGAAUGGGCUCCAUUAUGGCAGAUGUUUUCAGGGACUGAGGUAGGUAAACGACAACUCUUUGACAUCUCCAAAGUACUGAGAGAGGCCUUUCUUUCUUCCCUUCCUUUUUUACUUAUAAGGACAAUGACUUGGUUUUUAAUUUCAUGUGAAGCAAGAGAAAAAAUUUGGUAUUUUUUUGGCUGCAAAAUCUCCUACUAAAGCAACCAUUUUGAUGCGAGAGUUUUUCUCCAAAUUCUUGAUAAAAAUUAGUUGGGUUUCCUGCAAGUGCAUGGAAUAAUGUGCCUGGUGCUUGUUUAGCUCGGUAUAUGAGUUGGUUUGAUCUCAACGCGAAGGAAUAUAUGAGUUCUUUGGAGAUUGCAUAUUGGUGACAACGCUGUUUAAUCCGACAAAGUUUGAGAUAAUUGAUGGUGU
rnacentral:misc_RNA from 1 species